rnacentral:lncRNA from 1 species
AUGUGUUUUUCUGACCCAGUGGCCCCUGGCGGAGCCCAUCUCGACGUGAGUCUGCGGGGGUAUAAAAGGGCCUGUUGCGAGGACACCUCCCAGUGCUUCGCCAUGGAGGUUAUGCUCUUCGUCUGCCUCCUCUGUCUGCAGGGGUACGUGUCGACCGUCAUCCUCCUUCCCCCGGGGGGAGGCACCGACUCGGACCAAGACCCUGUGGCCGUCACCGCUGGUGCGGACCUCAGCAGAAUGCGGAACUGCCAGCUAAGAGCGAGAUGCUCCAGUGACUGCAGGUCAUCGGUUCUCCUCCUCGGUGUUUCCCUCCAUAUGAAAAUCCAUUAACGAGAUCGCUGACGAGUUCAGUGUCUCCCGCCGUGUCCCGUCGUCACGUGACCCACAGUAUGGAAAUGGAGUUUCAUUUGGCUAAAUUGACAGAUCAGAGAACUUCACCACUUUACUGGUACCCACAACACGGAAGGCUCACACUUUGUUGUCCUUUCACUUCUUCUGGAGGGAGGAGGGACUGAGUUGGGGGGGCUCUGGUAUGUAUUGACUGUGGUGUUUUGGCCAAUCUGUGACUCACUGUGGAACUCACCAUGUCCUGGAGUUACAUAAUGUGAGCAAGGUCCUGGGUCGCAAGGGAACCCCUGGCACAGUGUUUUCUAUCUAUCUAUCUAUCUAUCUAUCUAGUUGUCUGCCUGCCUGGUAGAAACAUGGUAUGGUAAAAAGUGUCAGGCACUGCAGUUUUAAACUGCUGCCUCCAGCUGUAGUACCUCUGGUACCUACCUUAAACUGCUCCAGUAAAAUUUCCCAGCUGUGUAAGUAACUGUAUGUAGCUUAAUGUUUCUGUAAGUUGAAUAACAGUACAGUUAUGGUGCUCUAUCUGUAUAUUUUAAAACAGCAUGAGAUCGCAAGUGAAGAAGGAGCAGCAGGUGGUAUAGUGGUUCAGGCCUCGACCAUGUUUUGAGCCGCACUCCUGCCGUAGUUCCCUUGGUCAAGAUACUCAAACUGAACUGAUACAGUAAGAAAUUCAGAGCUGUAAAACUAGGUAAAUUGGUAUAAGUAGCUUAGUGUGCAAAGCUAAUGCUGUGAUUGACUUUGAAGAAAGGAGCAGUUAAUAAAAAUGUACAGCAUCGCGGUGGUGACCA